rnacentral:rRNA from 1 species
CCUACGGGUGGCAGCAGUGGGGAAUAGUGGACAAUGGGGGAAACCCUGAUCCAGCGACGCCGCGUGAGUGAAGAAGUAUUUCGGUACGUAAAGCUCUAUCAGCAGGAAAGAAAAUGACGGUACCUGACGAAGAAGCACCGGCUAACUACGUGCCAGCAGCCGCGGUAAUACGUAGGGGGCAAGCGUUAUCCGGAUUUACUGGGGGAAAAGGGAGCGUAGACGGCAGCGCAAGUCUGGAGUGAAAUGCCGGGGCCCAACCCCGGAACUGCUCUGGAAACUGUGAAGCUCGAGUGCAGGAGAGGUAAGCGGAAUUCCUGGUGUAGCGGUGAAAUCCGUAGAUAUCAGGAGGAACACCGGCGGCGAAGGCGGCUUCCUGGACUGUACCUGACGUUGAGGCUCGACGGCGUGGGGAGCAAACAGGAUUAGAUACCCUAGUAGUC